rnacentral:rRNA from 1 species
UACGGAGGGUGCAAGCGUUAUCCGGAUUCACUGGGUUUAAAGGGUGCGUAGGCGGGUUGGUAAGUCCGUGGUGAAAUCCCCAAGCUUAACUUGGGAACUGCCGUGGAUACUAUCAAUCUUGAAUAUCGUGGAGGUAAGCGGAAUAUGUCAUGUAGCGGUGAAAUGCUUAGAUAUGACAUAGAACACCAAUUGCGUAGGCAGCUUACUACACUGUAACUGACGCUGAGGCACGAAAGUGUGGGGAUCAAACAGG